rnacentral:misc_RNA from 1 species
AGCAGCCGCGGUAAUUCCAGCUCCAAUAGCGUAUAUUAAAGUUGUUGCAGUUAAAAAGCUCGUAGUUGAAUUUCGGGAUCAAUUAAUUGGUCGUGCCUAUGGUACGUACUGAUUUUAUUGGUUUCUCCCUUCUGACGAACCAUGAUGUCAUUAAUUUGGUGUCGUGGAGAAUCAGGACUGUUACUUUGAAAAAAUUUAGAGUGUUUAAAGCUGAAUACAUUAGCAUGGAAUAAUGAAAUAGGACGUUUGAUCCUAUUUUGUUGGUUUCUAGGAUUGACGUAAUGAUUAAUAGGGAUAGUUGGGGGCAUUAGUAUUCAAUUGUCAGAGGUGAAAUUCUUGGAUUUAUUGAAGACUAACUACUGCGAAAGCAUUUGCCAAGGAUGUUUUCAUUAAUCAAGAACGAAAGUUAGGGGAUCGAAGACGAUCAGAUACCGUCGUAGUCUUAACCAUAAACUAUGCCGACUAGGGAUCGGAUGAUGUUAAUUUUUUAAUGACUCAUUCGGCGCCUUAC